rnacentral:rRNA from 1 species
CCUGGCUCAGGAUGAACGCUAGCGACAGGCUUAACACAUGCAAGUCGAGGGGCAGCACAGGUAGCAAUACCGGGUGGCGACCGGCGCACGGGUGAGUAACGCGUAUGCAACUUACCUAUCAGAGGGGGAUAACCCGGCGAAAGUCGGACUAAUACCGCAUGAAGCAGGGGCCCCGCAUGGGGAUAUUUGCUAAAGAUUCAUCGCUGAUAGAUAGGCAUGCGUUCCAUUAGGCAGUUGGCGGGGUAACGGCCCACCAAACCGACGAUGGAUAGGGGUUCUGAGAGGAAGGUCCCCCACAUUGGUACUGAGACACGGACCAAACUCCUACGGGAGGCAGCAGUGAGGAAUAUUGGUCAAUGGGCGUAAGCCUGAACCAGCCAAGUCGCGUGAGGGAUGAAGGUUCUAUGGAUCGUAAACCUCUUUUAUAAGGGAAUAAAGUGCGGGACGUGUCCCGUUUUGUAUGUACCUUAUGAAUAAGGAUCGGCUAACUCCGUGCCAGCAGCCGCGGUAAUACGGAGGAUCCGAGCGUUAUCCGGAUUUAUUGGGUUUAAAGGGUGCGUAGGCGGCCUUUUAAGUCAGCGGUGAAAGUCUGUGGCUCAACCAUAGAAUUGCCGUUGAAACUGGGAGGCUUGAGUAUGUUUGAGGCAGGCGGAAUGCGUGGUGUAGCGGUGAAAUGCUUAGAUAUCACGCAGAACCCCGAUUGCGAAGGCAGCCUGCCAAGCCAUGACUGACGCUGAUGCACGAAAGCGUGGGGAUCAAACAGGAUUAGAUACCCUGGUAGUCCACGCAGUAAACGAUGAUCACUAGCUGUUUGCGAUACAGUGUAAGCGGCACAGCGAAAGCGUUAAGUGAUCCACCUGGGGAGUACGCCGGCAACGGUGAAACUCAAAGGAAUUGACGGGGGCCCGCACAAGCGGAGGAACAUGUGGUUUAAUUCGAUGAUACGCGAGGAACCUUACCCGGGUUUGAACGCAUUCGGACCGAGGUGGAAACACCUUUUCUAGCAAUAGCCGUUUGCGAGGUGCUGCAUGGUUGUCGUCAGCUCGUGCCGUGAGGUGUCGGCUUAAGUGCCAUAACGAGCGCAACCCUUGCCACUAGUUACUAACAGGUAAAGCUGAGGACUCUGGUGGGACUGCCAGCGUAAGCUGCGAGGAAGGCGGGGAUGACGUCAAAUCAGCACGGCCCUUACAUCCGGGGCGACACACGUGUUACAAUGGCGUGGACAAAGGGAAGCCACCUGGCGACAGGGAGCGAAUCCCCAAACCACGUCUCAGUUCGGAUCGGAGUCUGCGAACCCGACUCCGUGAAGCUGGAUUCGCUAGUAAUCGCGCAUCAGCCGUGGCGCGGUGAAUACGUUCCCGGGCCUUGUACACACCGCCC